rnacentral:lncRNA from 1 species
UAGGAUUCAAAGUAGGUUGUUUUCAAAUCAGAAUCCAAAGCAGCUUUAUUGAUCAAGUGUGAGUUCACAGACAAUGAAUUUGACACCGGGGACUUCUGCAAUGAUACAGCAUUAACAGAUGUGAUCAAAAUAAAGAUAUUUACUACAUCUGAGCUGGUUUUAAAAUAUAUAUGAGCAAACAGCUCAUAGCACUCUGGUACAAUACAACUCUAAGUAUUCUUGAAGGAAUAUUAACCACUGCAUUUUACUUUUCAGUAUAAAAAUACAGUCUAAACAACGUUUUUUCACUACAAUUUUUACACGUUUCACAAAAAGUUGGAGUAUUUUCUCCACAAAAUGAAGCAGAAAACCUUUAGAAUGUUCCUUCUGUUUAACUGUUUUAGCAAUUGAUUGAAUGUGUUUCUAGUUAUUCUAGUUGCCGACGGUUGUUUUAUUUUGGAAGACCCUUGUGUUUUUUCAGGAACUGCACAGAUGAAGCUGAUAAUGAACAUGAACCUGAUAAACUGCCCUGUUACAGAGGCCACAAUAAAAAAGACAAACGCUCUCCCCCAGUGUGACACCCUGGGUAAUCCAUAAGUGUCUCAUAAUGAGGCUUUUUCUGUAGUUCAGCGCCUGCAUUCAUCAAGCAUCACGGAGGGGGGAGACCUCAUCCUCACUCACUGCCGUCGUUGGGUUUGAGAGGCAAAGGUUUUCACAUCAGAAUGUUCCGGCAAAGUCGUCUCAGCCUCCUAGACAGCAGCAUGUGUUCGGGAAUUGUUGACCUUUAGAUACCAACAUGAAAAAAAAAAGUCGUCAAGGAGAAAUUGGUUUAAGGUUCUUGGCAGCAGUUGAUCAUCAAGGUUUCUCCAUGUGUUGGAAACCGAAAGUGUGAAGUGUGAAAAACAACGCACAUGUCACCGUUUCUGCCAUCUUUCUGUUAAUCUCAUUUGGUUCCGUUUGUUUUUGCAAGUGUUUUUUUUUCUUUCUUUUGCAUAUUUUCUCAAACCUGCAAUGAAAUAUUAGGGCUGCCAUAACAGAAAUGAUUAAAAAAAACGAGAAUAAAGUUGUACAAUUUUGACAAAAAAAGCCAAAAUUUAAAAA